rnacentral:tRNA from 1 species
GGUGGUUCAGUGGUAGAAUCCUCGCCUUCGAUGCGGGAGACCCGAGUUCAAUUCCUGGCC